AGCCUCUCUGCCGCAUUUAUUAUAGACCAGGGCUGCCCAAAAGGUGGAUCCCCAGAUGUUAUAGAACUAAAACUCUCAUGAUGCUUUGCAUGCCUUUAGAAUGACAAAGCAGCAUGGGAGUUGUAGUUCUACAACAUCUGGGGAUCCCUGUUACAGACUAACGGGGCAAACUGGGAACACGCAAGACCACAAGAAGUGGAUUACAGUAGUCAGGAUGAGAGAGGACAGCACCAUGGACAAGUACCUUAACCGUAUCAGGCGUUAAAUAGGGGCGGAAGUGUGCUAUGUUUUUGAGAUAGAAGUGACAGGAUUUGGUGAUUGGAAAU